CAGAUAGCUAGACAGACAGACAGAUAGAUAGACAGAUAGAUAGAUAGAUAGACAGACAGACAGACAGAUAGACAGACAGAUAGAUAGACAGACAGAUAGAUAGAUAGAUAGAUAGACAGACAGAUAGAUAGACAGAUAGAUAGAUAGACAGACAGACAGACAGACAGACAGAUAGAUAGACAGACAGACAGACAGACAGACAGACAGAUAGAUAGAUAGACAGACAGAUAGAUAGAUAGAUAGACAGACAGACAGACAGACAGACAGAUAGAUAGACAGACAGACAGACAGACAGACAGACAGACAGACAGACAGACAGACAGAUAGAUAGAUAGAUAGAUAGAUAGAUAGAUAGAUAGAUAGAUAGAUAGAUAUACAGAUAGAUAGAUAGAUAGAUAGACAGACAGACAGACAGACAGACAGAUAGAUAGAUAGACAGACAGACAGACAGACAGACAGACAGACAGACAGAUAGAUAGAUAGAUAGAUAGAUAGAUAGAUAGAAUAGGAGACAGAGAACGACAAGAGUCUGCAUUUCACAAUCUGACCAUGGAGGAUGGCCAGAACAUCUGGGUCCAAUCUGCUCAUCUGUGCUUCUCAACUCAACUGUGUGUGUGUGUGUGUGUGUGUGUGUGUGUGUGUGUGUGUGUGUGUGUGUGUGUGUGUUAUAUAUGAGGCCUUUUCUCAGAUCAACCGCAGCAUAACAACAUUCCUGCUUCUUCUCUCUCUCCCUCUCUCUCCCUCUCUCCCUCUCUCACACACACAGGCGGCCCAUGGGGAGACGCCAUCUUCCACUUGCAGCGCAGCAGAGCAGGGAGGGAGUUGCCUAGCAACGGUUCCUUCUGGAGAAGGCCCGAGACGGCCAUCUUGGAUUUGGAGCAUCAGAUGUGAGAAGUGGGCUAAUGAUACCUGCCAGGGAAACAAGUUACACCCCAAAACUCUCUGAUUGGUCCGACUUCCUGAGCUGGACUCAGAUACAUCUCGGUGGACAUCUUCCAGUUGGUGUGCAACUAAUAGUUUUCAUUUGUGUCUAAAAAUAGCAAGUUCCAACAGUCCAAAACCCAAAAACAUUCGAUUUCUAAUUAUAGAAAACAGAGAAAAUCCCAUUUGAGAAGCUGGAAGCAGAGACUGUUAAACAAUUUCUGAUUGAUGAAUUAAUUUCCUGUUAAUUUAAGUUAAUUUAAUUUAAGUUAAUUUCCUGUAGAUCGACUCGUCAUUGGAGCUUUAUUAAGGGCGGAUUCAUAACGUUCGUAAUCAGGACAGAUGUUGAGUUUCAAACAUCCACAGACCCUCUGAACACUCACUGAUAAGAACCAGUAAAAUAAAUACAUACAGACUCUACUUGUGGAUAAUAUACCACAACUAUAUAUUGUAUGGACCCUUACUCUUACGACAGCUGUGCUUGCCUACAGAUGUGACGUCACAUUACUGAUGAAACAUCUCGUUUUAUUAAUUCAAAUAGGAAAAAACUAGAGGUAAAUUUGUUUCACUCAUUGAGCUUAAUAAACUUCACUACACGACACAGAAUAAUGAAUCAUAGAUUAUUCAUGAGCAUCUCUUGUAAAGAUGGUGAUUAUUUUAUUAUUUUUUGUUCUUUUGUGCAGUGUGAGGCAUUGCAGAUACAGAAAAACAAGGCUACACUGACCUGAAAUGCUCUGCUGCAGGCCACAGAUGCACGUUGUUGUUGUAUGUAUGUACGCACAAACACAGAAACUAGGGCUGCCAGAGUGUUAAUAGGAGGGGAAAUAUAGAAACUGCACUAUUGCAUUUUCCCCAAAAAAUCUGCAGGAAUUUGGGAAGUGAAGCACCACAACCGCCUUCGGUACCUCUCGGUAAAAACACCGAGCUUUUGAUAGGCUGUGAAAUAUUUAGCAGAAGAGAGAGAAAUAUGUCAGUUUUCACACCUGAGCAGCACUUUGUUGAUUAAAUAUGGAUGUGUGGACAAGCCCCUGGUUUCAAAUCAGUUUCUCUUUGUUUCUCCCGGGGUCAGACGGUUUAAUAUUCAACACGUUCGACGGCUUCAAACACACCUCGCACACAAAAAAAAACCCUGCUGCUGCAAAACAAUCCACAGAAUAAUCUCCGUACGGACUUUAAACACACCGAAAGCACCUCCAGCUUCACCCUGUAAGACAUUAACGGUUUGUUUGAGGUCUGCUGGACAUCUCAGCGCUGGAGUUUCCUCAGACACUCCUUUGUAGUCAAAGAGGAACGUCCUGUAACAGAUUCCCUCCUGCUAGAGUCCAUCAACCAGCUCCGUUUGUCCCGUCUGUGAGUCGCUCUGCAUAAGAGCGCCGGCUAAAUGCUUCCAAAAAGCGCCUCCAGAACAGCGCCUUAAUGCCUAGAGGUCACAGUAAUACGGCGGAGAUGAUGUGAUUUAGGCGACACUAAGCGAGGGAGCGGGAGAGAGAGGCUUAUCUGCCAGAGCUCGGCUGAUUGCUGAGUUUAUCUAAUAAACAGGUGGAGCGCCGGUUUUCCGUCUUCUCAAAGACGAAGAGUAAAAAAAAGUUUCGUCCCCACGGCGCUAACCAUCAAAAUCUGACAGGAAAUUGUUGCCUGAGGUUCAUUUACUUUGGAUUUCAAUAACAGUGAUGGCUCCGUGUCCUCAAACACUCAGAGGUCUCUGUGGGUUGAAAACUUUGUUAAUCCUUGAGAAGACUUGUUUUACUUCCCUGUCAGUCGGGAUUCCUUCAAAUGCUUCAAACUUUAUAUUAUGGAUUGAUUGUACCGGUGCUGAAAUGAUCAGUCGGACAAACCAUUAUGCAGAUCAAUCAAACACUCUGGUUUCAGCUUCUCUAACGAGGACAUUUUGCUGCUUUUCUUAAUGCAGUUUGUUGAAGUUGAUCUUCACUUUGCAUGUUUUCAAGAUGUUAUUUAAUUAUUUAAUUCAAGAAAAUCACAAACGUGGCAUUAAAGUGAUGAUUUAUUGAGUAAAAACUGUCAACCAGCUUCUUAAAAUGUGUGAAUUUGCUGCUUUUCUCAAACAGUUUUUCGCUCCUGAGCUUCGGGAUUUCCUUCAAAUAAACGCCAAGAUUGCUCGAAA